UGGCUCAGAUUGAACGCUGGCGGCAUGCCUUACACAUGCAAGUCGAACGGUAACAGGUCUUUCGGGAUGCUGACGAGUGGCGAACGGGUGAGUAAUACAUCGGAACGUGCCUAGUAGUGGGGGAUAACUACUCGAAAGAGUGGCUAAUACCGCAUGAGAUCUAUGGAUGAAAGCAGGGGACCUUCGGGCCUUGUGCUACUAGAGCGGCCGAUGGCAGAUUAGGUAGUUGGUGGGAUAAAAGCUUACCAAGCCUGCGAUCUGUAGCUGGUCUGAGAGGACGAUCAGCCACACUGGGACUGAGACACGGCCCAGACUCCUACGGGAGGCAGCAGUGGGGAAUUUUGGACAAUGGGGGAAACCCUGAUCCAGCAAUGCCGCGUGCAGGAUGAAGGCCUUCGGGUUGUAAACUGCUUUUGUACGGAACGAAAAGUCCUGGGCUAAUACCCUGGGAUCAUGAC
rnacentral:rRNA from 1 species